CGCUGCACUUUGGUCCGCUCCUCUCUAUGACAACCGUGACACCCGAAGCCAAAUCUAGUUGACAAACCCUGUUUUAUAGUAUGUCAUGGCCUUUUCUGGCCAACUGCUGUUAUGUUUAUGAUAUACUAUGGUGUUGUGUCACUAGACUUUGACCAGAUAUUAUUGCAUCCAAAGAUCAACUGUACCUAGAACAUAGAUACAGAGCCACUUGUUAUCAGGAAGCUGCUCUCUCAGCACAACGGAAAAUAUCUCAAUAACUUGACAUGUUCUGGUUGUGAAUUCAGGCUACAAGGGGUCAGUGCUCUAAAAUGAGUCUCUCUGGGGAGAGAGAGAGGAGGGGGGCCCUGCCUCUAAAAUGAGUCUCUCUGGGGAGAGAGAGGAGGGGGUCCUGCCUCUAAAAUGAGUCUCUCUGGGGAGAGAGAGGAGGGGGGCCCUGCCUCUAAAAUGCAUCUAUCUGAGGGACAUGACAACAAAGCUAAGAGGAGAGAUACGGGACCGUUGUGAAUCCUCUGGGGAGCCUCAACAACCUCAUGAUGCUG